rnacentral:rRNA from 1 species
UACGAAGGGGGCUAGCGUUGCUCGGAAUCACUGGGCGUAAAGCGCACGUAGGCGGGUCUUUAAGUCAGGGGUGAAAUCCUGGAGCUCAACUCCAGAACUGCCUUUGAUACUGAGGAUCUCGAGUCCGGGAGAGGUGAGUGGAACUCCGAGUGUAGAGGUGAAAUUCGUAGAUAUUCGGAAGAACACCAGCGGCGAAGGCGGCUCACUGGCCCGGUACUGACGCUGAUGUGCGAAAGCGUGGGGAGCAAACAGG